UCUUCUCCGAGAGUGGAGAGUGGAGAGUGGACUGGGAGUCUCUGAGGCCAGGACAGAGAGGAUUACAAAAUAUUGGGUGGAAUCCGGACGGGAAAUAGAUUUGGGCUCAAUACGACACUUGCUGAAAUGAGGAGUUGACUUCCUGUCUCCCGGUUGUCCAAAAUCAAAGGCCCACACAGCCCAAGGGGUUAGUUAAUCUGUUGAGAGAUGGCAUACGGAGUAUUUUCCCUGGAGAUUCCUCUUAAUACACCCCAUUUGGGGCUUUUAAUUGGUAUUUCUGAUUUAAUUUUGAAAAAAAGAACAUCCUGUUUUCAACAUGACCUCAAAUUGGAUUAUAUGAAGACAAAACGUGUUUUAUUUGGGGUGUAUUUUGCCUGGGGAAGUGAAGUGGCAGUUUUUGUACGAUGCUGUAUCUGGUCUGUAUCACAGUGGUAUUCGGCCAAGGCACCAAACUCAUUGUGACCGCUACGAAUCUGCCAGCGCCCUCGGUGACGCUCCUGCGUUCCUCCGCGGAAGAGCUGGACAAAGGGAAGGCCACGUUGGUGUGUCUGGCCAAUAAGCUGUCCGUGGGGCUCGCUGACGUCAGCUGGGCAGCCAAUGGGAGCCCGGUGAGCGGCGGGAUCCUGACCAGCCCCGCCUCCCCGCAGACUGACGGCACCUUCAGCCUGAGCAGCCUGCUGAGCGUGACCCCCGCCGAGUGGAGCAGCGAUCGCCUGUUCUCCUGCACGGUCUCGCAGGGAGCCUCCAGCACCGCCACCCAGCAGAUAAAGAAGUCUGACUGCGCCCAGUGAAGCCGGGUCUGCUAGAGUACAGCUGCUGGCUGGGUCUAUCGUAUGCUUUUCCUAAAUUGCUGUGGCGCUAGAAGUACAAAUUUCGACUAGGCUUUAUUUAGUUUGUGCAUGUGUUCUCUUGAACAUGCGAGAGACCCUUGUUCUUCGUGGUCCUUGGAACAGUAAGAAAGUUGUAAGCAAUUAAAGAAGUACCAACACUUCAAGUACAAAAGUUAAUUCCGAUUUAAUGCUAGUGUUCGAUCUUGUUGAAGUUGAAAUUGAACUGAAACGCCUCCCUCACACUGCUGGGAGGCACGACGGUACUUCCCUAUUUUCUCCGAGCUUGCAGUAGAAACCCCCUGAACUGUGUUGAAUUGUAUUCAAUAAAGAGCAUUUGUUGACAUUCAGCAAA